ACGUUCACAACCCUCACAUUCGUGCUCACAUGACUUAUUUAGUGCUGCCUUAAUGCAUGAAGUUGCUAUGCCUCUCUUAAUCAGUUUUGAGUGUGC
rnacentral:lncRNA from 1 species